rnacentral:rRNA from 1 species
GACGAACGCUGGCGGCGUGCUUAACACAUGCAAGUCGAACGGAAAGGCCCUGCUUUUGUGGGGUGCUCGAGUGGCGAACGGGUGAGUAACACGUGAGUAACCUGCCCUUGACUUUGGGAUAACUUCAGGAAACUGGGGCUAAUACCGGAUAGGAGCUCCUGCUGCAUGGUGGGGGUUGGAAAGUUUCGGCGGUUGGGGAUGGACUCGCGGCUUAUCAGCUUGUUGGUGGGGUAGUGGCUUACCAAGGCUUUGACGGGUAGCCGGCCUGAGAGGGUGACCGGCCACAUUGGGACUGAGAUACGGCCCAGACUCCUACGGGAGGCAGCAGUGGGGAAUAUUGCACAAUGGGCGGAAGCCUGAUGCAGCAACGCCGCGUGCGGGAUGACGGCCUUCGGGUUGUAAACCGCUUUCGCCUGUGACGAAGCGUGAGUGACGGUAAUGGGUAAAGAAGCACCGGCUAACUACGUGCCAGCAGCCGCGGUGAUACGUAGGGUGCGAGCGUUGUCCGGAUUUAUUGGGCGUAAAGGGCUCGUAGGUGGUUGAUCGCGUCGGAAGUGUAAUCUUGGGGCUUAACCCUGAGCGUGCUUUCGAUACGGGUUGACUUGAGGAAGGUAGGGGAGAAUGGAAUUCCUGGUGGAGCGGUGGAAUGCGCAGAUAUCAGGAGGAACACCAGUGGCGAAGGCGGUUCUCUGGGCCUUUCCUGACGCUGAGGAGCGAAAGCGUGGGGAGCGAACAGGCUUAGAUACCCCGGUAGUCCACGCUGUAAACGGUGGGUACUAGGUGUGGGGUCCAUUCCACGGGUUCCGUGCCGUAGCUAACGCUUUAAGUACCCCGCCUGGGGAGUACGGCCGCAAGGCUAAAACUCAAAGGAAUUGACGGGGCCCCGCACAAGCGGCGGAGCAUGCGGAUUAAUUCGAUGCAACGCGUAGAACCUUACCUGGGUUUGACAUGGAUCGGGAGUGCUCAGAGAUGGGUGUGCCUCUUUUGGGGUCGGUUCACAGGUGGUGCAUGGCUGUCGUCAGCUCGUGUCGUGAGAUGUUGGGUUAAGUCCCGCAACGAGCGCAACCCUUGUUCACUGUUGCCAGCACGUUAUGGUGGGGACUCAGUGGAGACCGCCGGGGUCAACUCGGGGGAAGGUGGGGAUGACGUCAAGUCAUCAUGCCCCUUAUGUCCAGGGCUUCACGCAUGCUACAAUGGCUGGUACAGAGAGUGGCGAGCCUGUGAGGGUGAGCGAAUCUCGGAAAGCCGGUCUCAGUUCGGAUUGGGGUCUGCAACUCGACCUCAUGAAGUCGGAGUCGCUAGUAAUCGCAGAUCAGCAACGCUGCGGUGAAUACGUUCCCGGGGCU